CAGAAGUGUUUGGGUGGACUC
rnacentral:miRNA from 1 species